UGUUAUUGUCGCAAAUUAUGCUUUUCGGUCAUUGUUUACAUUCUGUCAAGGAUGAUGGAAGACAUGUCGAUUCCUGUGAUUAGGUUCAAUGAAAAGCAUAAACAAUUAUCAUAAAAGGAUCUCCUGUGACAAAAAGGGAUUGCCAGCCACAGCUCUGCCUCUACAGCAUACCAGAGGAAAUCAAACCUAACAGGAAUGCUAAUAACUCAAGAAAAAUGAGUGAUCAGAAUCCCCCAGAUGAUGAGGAUUCAGGUUAUAUGAGUAAAAACCGGACUGAGAGCCUGCCUACCACCGGAUCAGCACCAGAUGUAGCAGAGAUGUCAUCUGU